GAUGAAGAACGUAGCGAAAUGCGAUAAGUAGUGUGAGUUGCAGAAUUCAGUGAAUCAUCGAAUCUUUGAACGCACAUUGCGCCCCUUGGUAUCCCGAGGGGCAUGCCUGUUCGAGCGUCAUUUCACCACUCAAGCCUGGCUUGGUGUUGGGCGACGUCCUCUUUGGGGACGCGCCUCGAAACGCUCGGCGGCGUGGCACCGGCUUUAAGCGUAGCAGAAUCUUUCGCUUUGGAAGUCGGGGCCCCGUCUGCCGGAAGACCUGCUCGCAAGGUUGACCUCGGAUCAGGCAGGGAUACCCGCUGAACUUAAGCAUAUCAAUAAGCGGAGGA
rnacentral:misc_RNA from 1 species